GAUGAACGCUGGCGGCGUGCCUAAUACAUGCAAGUCGAGCGAAAAGACGAGGAGUUUGCUCUCCUGCCGUUAGCGGCGGACGGGUGAGUAACACGUGGAUACCUUCCCUAUAAGACUGGGAUAACUUCGGGAAACCGGAGCUAAUACCGGAUAACAUGUUGAACCGCAUGGUUCAACAGUGAAAGCGGGUCUUGCUGUCACUUAAAGAUGGUUCCGCGCCGCAUUAGCUAGUUGGUAAGGUAACGGCUUACCAAGGCAACGAUGCGUAGCCGACCUGAGAGGGUGAUCGGCCACACUGGAACUGAGACACGGUCCAGACUCCUACGGGAGGCAGCAGUAGGGAAUCUUCCGCAAAGGGCGAAAGCCUGACGGAGCAACGCCGCGUGAGUGAAGAAGGUCUUCGGAUCGUAAAACUCUGUUAUUAGGGAAGAACAAAUGUGUAAGUAACUAUGCACGUCUUGACGGUACCUAAUCAGAAAGCCACGGCUAACUACGUG
rnacentral:rRNA from 1 species